rnacentral:lncRNA from 1 species
UGCAUCCUGUGUCAACUGAUUACCUCCUCUUCUAUGCAGAUCAGCUGCUGGGGACUCCAAUUGCUCACAGUAGCAGCUGUCUCCACUGAUUCUGCCCCAAGCAAUAGCUGAGCAGAAGUCAAAACAUGCUGGGGAGAAGCUAUUCUGUAUUAACCAACAGAGUGCAAUUAUGGAAGAAAGAGAAUCGCUCAGAAAGUUCAGCUGGUUGAUGCACCUAGAAUUAAACUGUCAAUAUAAAUUAUGCAAUCUGAAGACCUAGAAGAGGGCUAG